rfam:Azoarcus aromaticum EbN1 complete genome
GGGGGAUUAGCUCAGCUGGGAGAGCACCUGCUUUGCAAGCAGGGGGUCGACGGUUCGAUCCCGUCAUCCUCCA